AGAACUAGUAUUGUGUAUGUUGUUUGUGGCUCAGAGGAAGCUACCUUUUUGGAUAUAGAGCCAAACCCUUUUAAAACUUAUAUAUUCACGCUUAGAACACGUUAUGGUUGUAUUCCUCAAAAUUCUUCUGGCAAUGGACUCAGUGUGGGAUCAGUUCUUGUCAUUCUAUUUUUUGUAUUUUUCCUGAUUUAUUUGGUUGGUGGUGUACUGUUUCUGAAAUUUGUGCGUAAAGCUGAAGGUAUUGAAACGAUUCCAAAUAUUGAAUUCUGGAAAGAUUUACCAUCACUGA
rnacentral:sRNA from 1 species